CUGGCAUCUGCCAAAUCCAGAUUCACUCAUCAGACUGCCUAACAGAGAAGUAUGAUUCAUCACUCCAGAGAACAUCUGUCCAGUGGUGGCAUGCUUUACACUUCUCAAUCGGACCCUUGGUAUUGUACUUGUUGAUGUGAAGCUUGAAUGCAGCUGCUUGGCCAUGGAAGCCCAUUCCGUGAAGCUCCCGCUGCUCAGUUUUU